UGUGGGAGCGGGCUUGCUCGCGAAAGCGGUGGCUCAGUCAAUUUAUCUAUCACUGACAGACCGCUUUCGCGAGCAAGCCCGCUCCCACA
rnacentral:misc_RNA from 1 species